rnacentral:rRNA from 1 species
AUUACCGCGGCUGCUGGCACGUAGUUAGCCGGGGCUUCCUCUUAGGAUACCGUCAUUCCUGGCGGAUAUUACUCACCUGGACAUUCCUCCCCUAAAACAGAGCUUUACAACCCUAAGGCCUUCAUCGCUCACGCGGCGUCGCUGCGUCAGGCUUUCGCCCAUUGCGCAAUAUCCCUUGCUGCUGCCUCCCGUAGG